rnacentral:rRNA from 1 species
UACCGUGAGGGAAAGUUGAAAAGAACUUUGAAGAGAGAUUCAAGAAGUACGUGAAACCGCUCAGGGGUAAACGGAAAAGACCUGAAUAUCCGAAAGGGGAGAUUCACGUCUUACCAGUUGCUCAACUUUUAAAUGAUUUGAGAUGGCCUCUCGCCCUAUUCAGUGUAACAGCUGUGGUAGUGGGUUUGGUCGCUCGCAUUUAAAUUGGAAGGGUAAUGGGUGGACCGCACUUCUCCCUUAGUAGGACGUUGCGACCUGUCAAAUAAUAUCCUAAGUAUUUGGCUAAUUUGUCUGUUUUUAGGCAGUACUGAAAGGUAUUUCCUUUAACAGUUUUAGCCGUUUACAUACUGGAUAUAAUUGACAGUAACGAAUCAUGGUGUUGAGCCACUUACUUUGUAAGUGUCCUUUAUGGCUGUUUGCAAGUGGGUUUGGUUAAUUUAGUUUUAGUUCAGAAUUUUGCGGGUCUAACUAUUCCGCCUACGGUUGGUAAACUGUUCCCUUGGAGAGUGCUUAUAACACCGGU